CACGCCGUAAACGUUGGGCACUAGGUGUGGGGUUCUAUCGACGGACUCCGUGCCGUAGCUAACGCAUUAAGUGCCCCGCCUGGGGAGUACGGCCGCAAGGCUAAAACUCAAAGGAAUUGACGGGGGCCCGCACAAGCGGCGGAGCAUGUGGCUUAAUUCGAUGCAACGCGAAGAACCUUACCUGGGUUUGACAUGUAGGGAAAAGCCGUAGAGAUACGGUGUCCUUCGGGGCCCUACACAGGUGG
rnacentral:rRNA from 1 species